rnacentral:rRNA from 1 species
UGACGUCAAGUCAUCAUGGCCCUUACGGCCUGGGCUACACACGUGCUACAAUGGUCGGUACAAAGGGUUAGCCAAGCCGCGAGGUGGAGCUAAUCCCAUAAAACCGAUCGUAGUCCGGAUCGCAGUCUGCAACUCGACUGCGUGAAGUCGGAAUCGCUAGUAAUCGUGAAUCAGAAUGUCACGGUGAAUACGUUCCCGGGCCUU